AUUGAACGCUGGCGGCAUGCUUUACACAUGCAAGUCGAACGGUAACAGGCCGCCAGGUGCUGACGAGUGGCGCACGGGUGAGUAAUGCAUCGGAACGUGCCCAGUCGUGGGGGAUAACUACUCGAAAGAGUAGCUAAUACCGCAUACGAUCUAUGGAUGAAAGCGGGGGACCGUAAGGCCUCGCGCGAUUGGAGCGGCCGAUGUCAGAUUAGGUAGUUGGUGGGGUAAAGGCUCACCAAGCCAACGAUCUGUAGCUGGUCUGAGAGGACGACCAGCCACACUGGGACUGAGACACGGCCCAGACUCCUACGGGAGGCAGCAGUGGGGAAUUUUGGACAAUGGGCGCAAGCCUGAUCCAGCAAUGCCGCGUGCAGGAAGAAGGCCUUCGGGUUGUAAACUGCUUUUGUACGGAACGAAACGGCUCUGGUUAAUACCCGGGGCUAAUGACGGUACCGUAAGAAUAAGCACCGCCUAACUACGUG
rnacentral:rRNA from 1 species